rnacentral:rRNA from 1 species
CCUUCGGGAGCCGACGAGUGGCGGACGGGUGAGUAAUGUCUGGGAAACUGCCUGAUGGAGGGGGAUAAACUACUGGAAACGGUAGCUAAUACCGCAUAACGUCUACGGACCAAAGUGGGGGACCUUCGGGCCUCAUGCCAUCAGAUGUGCCCAGAUGGGAUUAGCUAGUAGGUGGGGUAACGGCUCACCUAGGGGACGAUCCCUAGCUGGUCUGAGAGGAUGACCAGCCACACUGGAACUGAGAAACGGUCCAGACUCCUACGGGAGGCAGCAGUGGGGAAUAUUGGACAAUGGGGCGCAAGCCUGAUGCAGCCAUGGCCGGGUGUAUGAAGAAGGCCUUCGGGUUGUAAAGUACUUUCAGCGGGGAGGAAGGUGUUGUGGUUAAUAACCACAGCAAUUGACGUUACCCGCAGAAGAAGCACCGGCUAACUCCGUGCCAGCAGCCGCGGUAAUACGGAGGGUGCAAGCGUUAAUCGGAAUUACUGGGCGUAAAGCGCACGCAGGCGGUCUGUUAAGUCAGAUGUGAAAUCCCCGGGGCUCAACCUGGGAACUGCAUUUGAAACUGGCAGGCUUGAGUCUCGUAGAGGGGGGUAGAAUUCCAGGUGUAGCGGUGAAAUGCGUAGAGUAUCUGGAGGAAUACCGGUGGCGAAGGCGGCCCCCUGGACGAAGACUGACGCUCAGGUGCGAAAGCGUGGGGACCAAACAGGAUUAGUAUACCCUGGUAGUCCACGCCGUAAACGAUGUCGACUUGGAGGUUGUGCCCUUGAGGCGUGGCUUCCGGAGCUAACGCGUUAAGUCGACCGCCUGGGGAGUACGGCCGCAAGGUUAAAACUCAAAUGAAUUGGACGGGGGCCCGCACAAGCGGUGGAGCAUGUGGUUUAAUUCGAUGCAACGCGAAGAACCUUACCUGGCCUUGACAUCCAUGGAAUCA